rnacentral:lncRNA from 1 species
UCCUGGGUCUCCAGGAUCACGCCCUGGGCUGAAGAUGGCGCUAAACUGCUGAGCCACCUGGGCUGCCCUUGGCCCUGGUUUAGGGCAAGGUUCUAAAACCUGUUGGUUUGUUAAAAUAGAUUUCUGGGCCCUGCCCCCUGAAUUUGAUUCAGUAAGUGUGGAAUGGGGCGCAAGAAUAUAUGUUUCUUUUUUUAAGAUUUAUUUAUUCAUGAGAGACAAAGAGAGAGGCAGAGACAUAGCAGAGGGAGAAGCACGCUCCCCACAGGGAGCCCGAUGCAGGAUCCCAGGACUCUGGGAUCACACCCUUAGCCAAAGGCAGAUAGAUGCUCAACCAUUGAGCCACCCAGGCAUCCAAAGAGUAUAUAUAUAUAUUUCUAACAAGUUCCCAAGUAUGUAACCACCCUUGGAGAAUUACUGGUUUAGACAUGAAUUCCAGCAUAUCUUAUCUUUCUUCCGUCUUAUUAUUUUAUCUCAUUUUACUUGAAUCCUUUUUAUUUUGUACCUUAAAUUCUGCACUUACAUGUUAAAUGCCUAUUAUGUGCUAAGUAUUGUACCAGAUAACAGGGAUACAAGGUGAGCAAAACAGAAUUGUUCCUGUCAUAUAUACUGGUUAGAGUGAGCUUAAAAGUCAGUUUCCAGGGCUCCUAGAUUGCUUAGUUGGUUAAUUGUCUGACUUUGGCUCAGGUCAUGAUCCCGGGGUCCUGGGAUUGAGCACCCCCCCCCCCCCCCAGGUGGGCUCUCUCAGUGAGACGUCUAUUUGUCCCUUUGCCCUUCCCUUGCUUGUUCUCUUUCUCUCUCAAAUAAAUAAAUAUCUUUAUAUUUAAAAAGAUUAAAUAUAACAAACCCUUUAGAGCUAGAGUCUGUGAAACAAAGCACCAUUUUGAAAGUGGGGCAAUGGUGUUUAAUGCUUGUUAAAGGCAAGCUAAGUUGGAAACGUUACAAAAUACUUCAUUAAUUUGAUGUCUUAGGAGAUAUUGUUCUGUAUAAAUGAAUUUUUCAGAUCACCAAAGCUUUUUUUAUUUUUUAAAGAUUUUAUUUAUUUAUUCGUGAGAGACCCAGGGAGGCAGAAACAGAGAGAAGCUCGCUCCUCACUAGAAACCCGAUGUAGGGCUCAAUCCCCAGACGGGAUCAUGCCCUGAGCUGAAGGCCGACUCAACCACUGAGCUACCCAGGCGUGCCCCAAUGCUUACUUUUAAAUACUUAAAACCAACUAGUUAUUUGAUGGAAGGCUUUCUAAAGAUAUUAUAUAUAUUUUUUCAUCUGAUUAUGAACUUAAACAUACUCUGUUAAAAAGUCUGAAGAGCGUGAGGGAAUAAAAGCAAAAAGCAGGGCGGCCCCGGGCGUGAUCUUGGGGACCCGGGAUUGAGUCCCACUUAGGGCUCCCUGCGUGGAGCCUGCUUCUCCCUCUGCCUGUGUCUCUGCCUCUCUCUGUGUGUCUCUCAUGAAUGAAUAAAUAAAAUCUUUAAAAAAAAAAGCAAAAAACAAAACACAAACCUCACGUUUGAUAAUUCCAUCAUGUCGAAACAACCAUGUUAAUUACGUGUGUGUUAAAAGUUCUCAUCAGUUAAACAAUUUACUAAGUCAUGUACCCUCGUGUCUGCUGUCCUCUGCCUCCACUUACUCCUGCCUCAGGAAUUGAGUGUGUGCCAUUUGUUCAUCCUUCCUAGGAGACAAUUUUCAUGUCCCUCCUCCCUCCCCCGCUCCUUUUUUAGAUACUGCUUUUGUAAACACUGCUGCAAACUUUUAUUAUGAAGUUGAUUUUCGUACAACUUCAUAACUUAAUUUCCCAACAUUUUUUUCUUAACCCCCUCCCCCAAUCCCUCAUUUACUUGACUCUCCCAAUUCUCCAUAUACUUCCUUAUUCUUUCAGACUUGUAUUUUAUUCAGUAUCUUUUUUUUUUUUCUUUUAAUUUGUUUAUUCAUGAACGACAUAGAGAGAGAGAGGGAGGCAGAGACACAGGCAGAGGGAGAAGCAGGCUCCAUGUAGGGAGCCUGACUUGGGACUCCAUCCCGCGUCUCCAGGAUGACGCCCUGGGCUGAAGGUGGCGCUAAACCACUGAGCCACCAGCGCUGCCCUGUUCAGUAUCUUUUUUAGGAGUUUCCUAUUCUUUGUAUCAGCUGGAGGUCCCAAACUUAAUAUCCUUGACAGGGAACUGAUUAGGGAUAUGUCUAACAUUACUGGGUUAGACAGUUCAUUGGGUUCAUUGGUUAUGUUGCCUGACUUUUUGUUCACUGGUGGAUGAAGUAAUUGCACUGACACAGGAAAUUAAGUAUGGCAAAUGUGUAGUAAAGCUUACAAUGUGAAAGAUGAGGUGUAAUUAGGGAUUUUAUAAUAAUUGGAAAAAUGUCUAGGAACAUGUGAAUCUGUUGUUUGGAUUUGGAAUAUUUGAUUUGUCACAUUUUCAGGAAUGCCUUCUGUGUGAAAGGGAAGGGUACUUGCCCAGGCUCUUGUGAAAAUGAUUGCAGAAAAUCUAAUUUUUCUUAAAUUUAAUCAGUAUGUAUAUAGAUGUUGACUAUGUCAUUUGUAGAUAUAAUUCAGUUAUCCAAAGUUCUUACGAGUUUUUGACUGGGAGUGUGUUGAACUGGAAUGAAAGGGAUUGUGAGCUCAGGCUAAGGGUUGGAGGAAGAACCCGGCGUACUCUCUGCAGGUGUAUUGCCUGUCUGGCUUGAUGUCAUUAUCUGAGCCAUAUAAAUGUCAGCAGUCUCAAAUUGAUACUACUCAAGCGUUAGUAGGAAAAAUCAUGGCGAGAUUCUUUGGCUUCUAUUCAUCUACACAGCCACAAGAAUCAUGUUUAAGUAACUCCUUAUGUCUUCUGCUCCCCCCAAAUACUGUUCAAAAUUGGAGUGCCUGGCUAGCUCAGUUGGUGGAAUGUAUGACUCUUGAUCUCAGAGUUGUUUAUUUGAGCCCCCUGUUGCAUGUAGAACUUAGUUAAAAAUUAAAAACUGGGGGGAUCCCUGGGUGGUGCAGCGGUUUGGGGCCUGCCUUUGGCCCAGGGCGCGGCACUGGGCCGAAGGCAGGUGCUAAACCGCUGAGCCACCUGGGCUGCCCCUACCAUGGCAAUUCUAUGCAAAGGAGGUCAUUCUGGCAUAAUUCCAGUCUGACUUUUUUUUUUUCUUUUUAAGGAUUUUUUUUAUUCGUGAGAGAUACAGAUAGAGGCAGAGAACACAAGCAGAGGGAGGAGAAGCAGGCUCCAUGCAAGGAGCCUGAUGUGGGAUUCAAUCCCGUGACUCUGGGAUCAUACCCUGAGCCAAAGGCAGUCACUCAACCACUAAGCCACCUAGGCGUCCCUCCAGUGUACUUUUCCAAGGUGAUUUCUUGUUCUCCCAUCUAAUCAAACAACCCAUACUUGAUGUGGAUGCUCCAGUCUUUUCCUAUUCCCAUGACUAUGCUUCUUGGAGCUCCAUCUCCCCUUUAUGGCUAACCUCCAAAAGUCUAGCUCACAGGCCAUAUUCAUGAAGUUGGAAAUUGGUCUUAACCUUCUCUGAAUUCUGGUAGCAUUUUUCCUGUGCUCUUCUUUUGGUCUUAUUCUACUUUUUGUUUGUGUUUCUUUAAGUAAAGCCCCCCUUGGAAGGUGGCUCUGGAAAUUCUGAGCCUUAGUUGAUAGUGUUUGAGUUUGAGUUAGUGUUUAAGUUUGUCUUUUGUAGGUAGUCAGAACCUCCCUCAGCCUGAUUGAGAUCGUAGUACAGUAGGUAGUAAAGAGCUCUAAUCUCAGUCAAAAGGGUUAGAUUACAGUUGUAAUUCCUCUACCAAUUAGUGAGCAAGUUACUUAACCUCCAUGAAAUAAACCUUAACACUAUUGACACUUUGAGUAAGAUGAAUCUUUGUUGUGUAGUGUGCUGUCAUAUUUCCUUCUGGUUUCUAUCCACAAGAUGCCAGUAGUACCUGCUCCCCCACUUCCCACCCCGUUGUGAUAACCAGAAUUGUUCCCAGACAUUGCCAACUGUGUUCCGGAUACAAAAUUUCGGAACCGUUACUUGAAAUGGAAGAAUGAAAGAGAAAGUGUAGUGUUUUAGAGAAAAGUUAGUAGAAAAAAAAAAAAAAAA